AUACUACUUCGUGGUGAACUGUAAAGUAAGAGCAUGUUGGGCCUAGUAAGGAAACAAGUUAGAGUUGAAGACAGUGAGCAAAUGAAGGAAUCAGAGUAAGCAUGGAGGAGCACACGGCUGGCAGGAACAGUUGAAGUGCAGCUGUUCCCUCCAUCCUCCAUUUCCACACCAGGAGGCCCAGGCAGAACUCCAGUAGAAGUUGAUUGAUUAAAUCAACCAUGUUUCAA
rnacentral:lncRNA from 1 species